UGAAGAAAAAUAUAAUAAAACAGAUACAAUCGCACAAAACAAAACUAUUUGAAGAAUACAACAUUCAAGAAAACAAACAAACAAAAAUUUGUGAAAUGUCAUUACUGUGGACGCAAAGGACACAAGAAACAGGAUUGUUUCUAUUUCAAAAGACAGACAAAUAUACAAAACAAUGCCCCAGAAAGGACAAGACAAGUCCAAACUAUUGCCCUGCAAGAGGGAACGACCUCGAAUUCUUCUUUUUCAGGAUUUGCGUUCAUGACAAGCGCAUACCAUUAUGAAAAAGACCACUCGACAAUUAAAUUCCUAUUAGAUUCAGGAGCGUCUGAUCACAUCACAAAUAGAGAUGAUCUCUUCACAUCGUUUGAAUGUUUAAAUCCUCCUUUAAAAAUUUCAGUAGCUAAAAACAAUACAUUUAUUUCAGCAACUAAAAGGGAAACAUAAAUCUUAUCAGUCAAACAGGAGUGCAAGGAAUACUUACAAAUGUAUUGUUCUGUGCCGAAGUACCAUAUAAUUUAAUAUCGGUAUCAAAGAUGCAGCAAGCAGGAUUCACCAUAAUAUUUGAUGACAAAGGCACACAAAUUACAAAGGAAGGUAAAAUCAUCAUGAAAGGUAACCAGUUGGCAGACUUGUUGACAAAACCUUUACCAGUCGUGUCUUUUAUAAGACUGAGAAAAGGAUUGGGUAUAGAAUAAGUUUUAAUUUAAGUACAAUUUCAUUAUGAAAUGGUCUGAUCAGGUUUUUCUGGGUUUUCCCUGAUCCUGUGCAGCAAAUGUUGGACCAUUAUUGUACAGUUGUCCCAGACCUUACUUGGAAGUAUAAUAUGUUACGUCGUAUUUAUAAGUUAGUAUUCACUUUGUAAUGUUGAAUUGUAGACUAGAUACUGUAUAGUAAACUAACGAAUGACUAAAAGUUAGGGAUUAAUUUUUGAGGGGGCGUGUUGGAUUAUAUAAAGCAAAAACUAAUACCCCUAACUUUCGAUAACAUUGUUCUUUGUUCUAUCUGAACAAUCUACUGUUUAUUUAACUCUACACACACUGCGUCACGGGAUCUUGUUAGACGGACGUAUUGCUUCCAAGUACCAUUUAAAGUAUAGAAUAAAUAUUUCAAUAUCAAAUUA